AGUAUGAAGCAAGACAAAUGAAAAAAAUCAUUUAGUUCAAACGGUGAGCGAAUGAGUCAGUGGAGUGAGUCACUAUAGUGGCGCAUCGUACCUAAGAAGUUAAAAAGACAAAGA